GAUGAACGCUGGCGGCGUGCCUAAUACAUGCAAGUCGAGCGAACGGACGAGAAGCUUGCUUCUCUGACGUUAGCGGCGGACGGGUGAGUAACACGUGGAUAACCUACCUAUAAGACUGGGAUAACUUCGGGAAACCGGAGCUAAUACCGGAUGAUAUUUUGAACCGCAUGGUUCAAAAGUGAAAGACGGUCUUGCUGUCACUUCUAGAUGGAUCCGCGCUGCAUUAGCUAGUUGGUAAGGUAACGGCUUACCAAGGCAACGAUGCAUAGCCGACCUGAGAGGGUGAUCGGCCACACUGGAACUGAGACACGGUCCAGACUCCUACGGGAGGCAGCAGUAGGGAAUCUGCCGCAAUGGGCGAAAGCCUGACGGAGCAACGCCGCGUGAGUGAUGAAGGUCUUCGGAUCGUAAAACUCUGUUAUUAGGGAAGAACAGAUGUGUAAGUAACUGUGCACAUCUUGACGGUACCUAAUCAGAAAGCCACGGCUAACUACGUG
rnacentral:rRNA from 1 species